rnacentral:rRNA from 1 species
UACGAAGGGGGCUAGCGUUGCUCGGAAUCACUGGGCGUAAAGGGUGCGUAGGCGGGUCUUUAAGUCAGGGGUGAAAUCCUGGAGCUCAACUCCAGAACUGCCUUUGAUACUGAGGAUCUUGAGUUCGGGAGAGGUGAGUGGAACUGCGAGUGUAGAGGUGAAAUUCGUAGAUAUUGGGAAGAACACCAGUGGCGAAGGCGGCUCACUGGCUCGUAACUGACGCUCAGGCGCGACAGCGUGGGGAUCAAACAGG